rnacentral:rRNA from 1 species
CCUACGGUGUGCAGCAGUGAGGAAUAUUGGUCAAUGGACGAGAGUCUGAACCAGCCAAGUAGCGUGAAUGAUGACUGCCCUCUGGGUUGUAAACUUUUUUUAUAUGGGAAUAAAACAGGGUAUGCAUACACUCUUGUAUGUCACAUAUGAAUAAGGAUCGGCUAACUCCGUGCCAGCAGCCGCGGUAAUACGCAGGAUCCGAGCGUUAUCCGGCUUUAUUGGGUUUAAAGGGCGCGUAGGUGGAUUGUUAAGUCAGUUGUGAAAGUUUUCGGCUCAACCGUAAAAUUGCAGUUGAAACUGGCAGUGUUGAGUACAGUAGAGGUGGGCGGAAUUCGUGGUGUAGCGGUGAAAUGCGUAGAUAUCACGAAGAACUCCGAUGGCGAAGGCAGCUCACUGGACUGCAACUGACACUGAUGCUCGAAAGUGUGGGUAUCAAACAGGAUUAGAUACCCGUGUAGUC